rnacentral:rRNA from 1 species
UGAACGACUCUCGGCAACGGAUAUCUCGGCUCACGCAUCGAUGAAGAACGUAGCAAAAUGCGAUACUUGGUGUGAAUUGCAGAAUCCCGUGAACCAUCGAGUUUUUGAACGCAAGUUGCGCCCAAAGCCAUUUGGCCGAGGGCACGUCUGCCUGGGCGUCACGC